GUCCACGCCGUAAACGAUGAGUGCUAGAUGUUGGGACGUCAGUCCCGGUGUCGUAGUUAACGCGUUAAGCACUCCGCCUGGGGAGUACGGCCGCAAGGUUAAAACUCAAAGGAAUUGACUGGGACCCCGCACAAGCGGUGGAGCAUGUGGUUUAAUUCGAGGCAACGCGAAGAACCUUACCAGGGCUUGACAUGCCGGUCGCGGCUCCCAGAAAAGGGAGCCUUCAGCUCGGCUGGACCGUGCACAGGUGCUGCAUGGCUGUCGU
rnacentral:rRNA from 1 species